AGUGUGAUAAGGGAAUUCCUAGUGCUUAUGCUAUGCAUAGGCUUUUGCCAAAGGUAAAAACUUUGGCGAAUAAGUGGUGGGCAAGACUGGUGCCAGCCGCCGCGGUAAUACCAGCGCCACGAGUGGGGAUCAUAUUUAUUGGGCCUAAAGCGUCCGUAGCUGGUUGGAUAAAUCUCUUGUGAAAUCGUGAAGCUUAACUUCACGGCGUGCAGGAGACACUAUUCGACUAGGAACCGGGAGAAGUAAGAGGUAUUCUGGGGGGAGCGGUAAAAUGCUAUAAUCCCUGGAGGACCACCGAUAGCGAAGGCAUCUUACUAGAACGGAUUCGACAGUGAGGGACGAAAGCUAGGGGAGCGAACCGGAUUAGAUACCCGAGUAGUCCUAGCAGUAAACGCUGUGAGCUAGGUGUUGCAUAUCCUUCGUGGAUAUGCAGUGUCGUAGAGAAGUCGUUAAGCUCACCGCCUGGGAAGUAUAGUCGCAAGGCCGAAACU
rnacentral:rRNA from 1 species